UACAGAGGUCCCAAGCGUUGUUCGGAUUUACUGGGCGUAAAGGGAGCGUAGGUGGCAUUCUAAGUCUGAUGUGAAAGCUCUGAGCUUAACUCAGAAAUGGCAUUAGAUACUAGUUUGCUAGAGGAUUGGAGGGGAGAUUGGAAUUCUUGGUGUAGCAGUGAAAUGCGUAGAUAUCAAGAGGAACACCAGUGGCGAAGGCGAAUCUCUGGACAAUUCCUGACACUGAUGCUCGAAAGCUAGGGGAGCAAACGGG
rnacentral:rRNA from 1 species